rnacentral:lncRNA from 1 species
GGCAGCGAAGUCAUGCUAGUGGAUGAAAAUGUUGGAUGUUAAACAAUGAUCUUUAGGUUAUAUGUUGAACUAUGACAGUGGAUUUUGGGUUGUUUUUUUUUUUUUUUUGGAUUAUGAAAUAGAUUUUGGGUUGUUUUUUUUUAUGUUAAAGAAGUACUUAUUUUGAAUUACAUAUUAUUAUCAACUGUGAACUAAUUAGUUUAGUAAAUUAAAUUAACUAUGUACAAAUUUAUGAACUGCACACGAAUUUUUCAACUG